rnacentral:rRNA from 1 species
GACGGAGGGUGCUAGCGUUGUUCGGAAUGACUGGGCGUAAAGGGCGCGUAGGCGGCUCGUGAAGUCGGGUGUGAAAGCCCGGGGCUCAACCCCGGAACGGCAUCCGAUACUGGCGGGCUUGAGUGUGGCAGAGGGGGGUGGAAUUCCGCGUGUAGCAGUGAAAUGCGUAGAGAUGCGGAGGAACACCGAUGGCGAAGGCAGCCCCCUGGGCCAACACUGACGCUCAGGCACGAAAGCGUGGGGAGCAAACAGG